GGCCGGGCCGAGCCGAGCCGAGCCGAGCCGAGCGCUGAGGAUGAACGCUCCUGGUCUGCCGGGGCCCACAGCGGCUCUUCGGGGCUCACAGAGCCAUCCCAGAGCACAUGGCGCAGGAUCUGCGUCGCGAUGGUUCUGGACUAUCUCCUCUGAGGGAGACUCCGCAGCCUCUCCGGGCAGUGUGUUCCUGAACGGAGCUCUUCCCCGUGCUCCGGUAGAAUUUCCUGUGCCUUCCCGUGGCCUCGUGUUCUCCUCCCUGUCCAGAAGGAUGGAGCAUCUCUCCUGAGGGGCUGGGACAACGGGGUUCUUCAGCCUGGAAAAGAGAAGCUUUGGGGUGACCUAAUUGUGGCCUUGCAGUACUUGACGGGAACUUACAGGGAAGAUGAGGCAAGGCUGUUUGCAAGAGCACGUAGUGACUAGACAAGCGGGAAUGGUUUCAGAUGGAAAGAGCAGGUUUAGAUCACAUAUUAGGGGAAAAAAAACCAGAAUUUGAAGGUGGUGAGGUCCUGGCACAGGUUGCCCAGAGAAGCUGUGGCUGCCCCAUCCCUGCAGGUGUCCAAGGCCAGGUUGGACAGGGCUUGGAGCCACCUGGGAUAGGGGAAGGUGUCCCUGAGCAUGACAAGGGGUGGAACAAGAUGAUCAUCUAUGUCGCCUUCUAACCCAAACCAUUCUAUGGUUCUCUUGCUUGGCACCACCAAGACCCUGGUAUCAUAUUCUUGGCACCCCCUUUAGAUGUUGACUUGAAAUUGACCUGAAAUUGACACUCACAAGCUCCAUCUGCUCCCCAGUAAUGGAGCUGGAGAAGAGCCAGUCCUCAGUGACUGCUCCCCCACGUACAGGGCUGGUGUUGGGCUCUCAGCUUCUCACCCUGCCCACAGAUCUGCUCCAGGCUGGCACAGACAUGGGCUUCAAUAUCUUCAGCCCACAGCCCCUGACCAGGACUCUUCUGCUCCCUCCACAAAUGUUCACCACCCAGCAGUUCUGAACCUUGUUGGUCAGAUCUGUUUCCUCUAGAACCAGUCUAGAGAAAGUCUGCAAAGAUGAAUCAUUAACAGAAGUUGUGGAAAACAUGCAUAUUUGCCAGCAGUGAAAAGGAAGGUUUCAGCAAAGAUGCAGUUUCUCCUGACAGAGGAGGGUGACACUGGAGGGGUGAAGUGUUCCUGCCAGUGGCUGCAGCACAGAGCCUGCAGCCUGGGGGUGAGUCACAGCCAAGUCUCUGUUUUUCCUGAUUCAGUGUGAGUUUUGAUCUUCUAUCUUUCACCACAGAUAAAAACCACCAAGCUACUGUAACCACCAAGUCUUCUCUGUUUAUACUUUGUUUAUACUUUGUAUAAACAAACACUAGUUUUAGCAGAGGCUUGAACCUGGGACUUCCAAAUUUUGCCUAAGCUGAGCAGCUGCUGGGUUGAACUUCUCUUUCUUCUUCCAUUAAAACAAAUAAAUAAACACUGGAAAGAUUUUCAUGCAAAAUGUGAAAACAUUUCAGUUUUCUAACUUUCACAAGACAGGCACAUGUUUACUCAAUAGUUUCCCACACAUUUUAUUUCAAGAAGUCCUUAUAUGUUAUUAGUGUUAAAAAAAGAAUUAUUAAAAAGAAUUUGCUUUGUAUUGUCAUGUUCCUUUCCAUCAGUUUCUGUGUUUGUGCUAUUUACUGUUAUUCACUGCCUUGAAAUAGAGAGUAAGGACUUCAAAGCAGGUAUCUUAUCUUCCUGUGGAUAUUUCUUUAAUUCAUAAUGGCAGAAAACUUCCUGGAAGCUGGUUGCAGCACUGCAUGACAAUAAUUUUUCUGCAUAAUGAUUAGCUGCAAAUCCCUGACCAUCUUUGUUUUAUUCCUCCCCAGUAUUUUCUUAUGUAGUAUCACCAGUUUCUUGUAAAAAAAAACCCAUAUGCACCCCAACAAAUCUUCUGACUGUGUACUUAGUUUUUCUUUGCUCAUAUUUGCCAGAACUCCACAACCAUGAUGGCUGUGUAACCAUGUGCUGUGUCCUUUACUUUCCCUUCACUGCCACUGCUGGGUCACUGAAGGUCACAAGUGAGAUGGUAAACCAGGGGUACUGUUUGAUCUGCUCUGUAAGUCACAAACCU